GGAUCCUGGCUUAGGAUGAACGCUAGCUACAGGCUUAACACAUGCAAGUCGAGGGGCAGCAUAGUCAAAGCUUGCUUUGAUUGAUGGCGACCGGCGCACGGGUGAGUAACGCGUAUCCAACCUUCCCCCUUAGUAGGGCAUAGCCCGGCGAAAGUCGGAUUAAUACCCUAUGUUGUGUCAUGAGGACAUCUGACUAACACUAAAGAUUUAUCGCUAAGGGAUGGGGAUGCGUCCGAUUAGCUUGCCGGCGGGGUAACGGCCCACCGGGGCGACGAUCGGUAGGGGUUCUGAGAGGAAGGUCCCCCACACUGGUACUGAGACACGGACCAGACUCCUACGGGAGGCAGCAGUGAGGAAUAUUGGUCAAUGGGCGAGAGCCUGAACCAGCCAAGUAAGCGUGCAGGAUGACGGCCCUAUGGGUUGUAAACUGCUUUUAUGCGGGGAUAAAGUGACGUACGUGUACGUUUUUGUAGGUACCGCAUGAAUAAGGACCGGCUAAUUCCGUGCCAGCCGCCGC
rnacentral:rRNA from 1 species